CCUACGGGGGGCUGCAGUGAGGCAUAUUGGUCAAUGGACGAGAGUCUGAACCAGCCAAGUAGCGUGAAGGAUGUCUGCCCUAUGGGUUGUAAACUUCUUUUAUAUGGGAAUAAAAUGUUCCACGUGUGGGAUUUUGUAUGUACCAUAUGAAUAAGGAUCGGCUAACUCCGUGCCAGCAGCCGCGGUAAUACGGAGGAUCCGAGCGGUAUCCGGAUUAAUUGGGUUUAAAGGGAGCGUAGGUGGAUUGUUAAGUCAGUUGUGAAAGUUUGCGGCUCAACCGUAAAAUUGAAGUUAGAACUUGCAGUCUUGAGUACAGUAGAGGUGGGCGAAAUUCGUGGUGUAGCAGUGAAAUGCUAAGAUAUCACGAAGAACUCCGAUUGCGAAGGCAGUUCACUGGACUGCAACUGAGACUGAGGCUAGAAAGUGUGGGUAUCAAACAGGAUUAGAUACGCUAGUAGUC
rnacentral:rRNA from 1 species